rnacentral:rRNA from 1 species
UACGUAGGGUGCAAGCGUUGUCCGGAAUUAUUGGGCGUAAAGAGCUUGUAGGCGGUCUGUCGCGUCUGCUGUGAAAAUCCGGGGCUCAACCCCGGACUUGCAGUGGGUACGGGCAGACUAGAGUGUGGUAGGGGAGACUGGAAUUCCUGGUGUAGCGGUGAAAUGCGCAGAUAUCAGGAGGAACACCGAUGGCGAAGGCAGGUCUCUGGGCCACUACUGACGCUGAGGUACGAAAGCGUGGGGAGCAAACAGG